rnacentral:rRNA from 1 species
GACGAACGCUGGCGGCGUGCCUAAUACAUGCAAGUCGAGCGAAGUUUUUCUGGUGCUUGCACUAGAAAAACUUAGCGGCGAACGGGUGAGUAACACGUAAAGAACCUGCCUCAUAGACUGGGACCACUAUUGGAAACGAUAGCUAAUACCGGAUAACAGCAUUAACUGCAUGGUUGAUGUUUAAAAGUUGGUUUUGCUAACACUAUGAGAUGGCUUUGCGGUGCAUUAGCUAGUUGGUGGGGUAAAGGCCUACCAAGGCGACGAUGCAUAGCCGACCUGAGAGGGUGAUCGGCCACACUGGGACUGAGACACGGCCCAGACUCCUACGGGAGGCAGCAGUAGGGAAUCUUCCGCAAUGGGCGAAAGCCUGACGGAGCAACGCCGCGUGAGUGAAGAAGGAUUUCGGUUCGUAAAGCUCUGUUGUUAGGGAAGAAUGAUUGUGUAGUAACUAUACACAGUAGAGACGGUACCUAACCAGAAAGCCACGGCUAACUACGUG